rnacentral:rRNA from 1 species
UACGUAGGGUGCAAGCGUUAAUCGGAAUUACUGGGCGUAAAGCGUGCGCAGGCGGUGAUGUAAGACAGGUGUGAAAUCCCCGGGCUUAACCUGGAACUGCAUUUGUGACUGCAUCGCUGGAGUGCGGCAGAGGGGAUGGAAUUCCGCGUGUAGCAGUGAAAUGCGUAGAUAUGCGGAGGAACACCGAUGGCGAAGGCAAUCCCCUGGGCCUGCACUGACGCUCAUGCACGAAAGCGUGGGAGC